GACGAACGCUGGCGGCGUGCUUAACACAUGCAAGUCGAGCGGUAAGGCCCUCGGGUACGACGAGCGGCGAACGGGUGAGUAACACGUGGGUGACCUGCCUUUAGCUCUGGGAUAAGCCUGGGAAACUGGGUCUAAUACCGGAUAUGACCUCAUGACGCAUGUUGUGGGGUGGAAAGCCUUGUGCGGCUAGAGAUGGGCCCGCGGCCUAUCAGCUUGUUGGUGGGGUGANGGCCCUACCAAGGCGACGACGGGUAGCCGGCCUGAGAGGGCGACCGGCCACACUGGGACUGAGACACGGCCCAGACUCCUACGGGGAGGCAGCAGUGGGGAAUCUUGCGCAAUGGGCGAAAGCCUGACGCAGCGACGCCGCGUGAGGGAUGA
rnacentral:rRNA from 1 species